GGGAGGUGGAGGUAGGCAGUGAAUAUCUUGGGCUUUCUCCUUGUUGAUAUGAGUCUCCUGUUUCCUCUUCUCCUAAUCUCAUCUCAGGCCAGUUCUAGGUAGGUCUCCAGUCCUGAUUUCUUAAGGCUGGCCUUACCUCCUGAAACACACAAACACCUUCAUGUGUUGAAUGUUCCACUCAGACCACACUGGUCCCUCUGAGGACAUUGCUUCCCUGCCUUGCACACUGUGGCAGCUGCUGCCCUCCGUCCUUGUCCUUUCUUCCUUAGCCUAGGACUGGCAGCUGUUCUGCCUGAUGAUGCUUCCAGCCUACACUCUUGACCCCCACUUGGAUUCUGGGGAUAAAAUCGUUUCCUUCUCACCCCUUCCCAAGGUGGCUACAGUUCUUCCUUCUGUGAAGUUUCAAUUAAUUUGCUCUUUCAUUCAUUUAUUUUUUGUGUGAGUGUGCACGCACGUGUGCCAUAGCACACGUGUGGCAUACGUGUGGAGGUCCGAGGGCAACUUGUGGGAGUUGGUUUUUAUCUUCCAACAUCUGAGUGAGUCCUGAGGACAGAGGUCCAGUCAUCAAGAUGGGCAGCAAGACCUUUACAAGACGGGCUCUAUCACUAGCCCUGAUUAUUAGUGUUCUCCCCCUCCUCAUCAUCAUCAUUAGUGUUUGAAAUAUGGUCUCACUGUGUUACAGCCCAGGCUUGCCUCAAACUCAAGAGUGCCCAACUCCCUGAGACCCCAAAAGCAGCCUGCAGGGGAGGUUUUUGUGGCAUUAGCUUAGAAAGAUGAAUACCGUUCUCCCUGUUUGUUCACAGAGGUGCAGAGAAGGGGAGGCCCUAACUGUCUGAGACCUUUGUCCUUGGAUAGAAGAUACACCAGAUAACCUCAUCAGACGACGAGCCAAUCAGAGGAUGAUUCAAUCAGAGACCCUUUUUCAGAAUCUGCCCCCUUCUCAGAAUCUGCCCCCUUCUCAGAAUCCCACCCCCUUCUCAGAAUCCCGCCCCCUUCUCAGA
rnacentral:lncRNA from 1 species